rnacentral:rRNA from 1 species
AUGAAUAUGCGAUCAGAACACAUAUGGGUAGAACUUCUAAAAGGUUCUCGAAAAAGGGGUAAUUUUUUCUGGGCCUGUAUUCUUUUUCUAGGUUCACUAGGAUUCUUAUCGGUUGGGAUUUUCAAUUAUCUUGGUAAGAAUAUUAUAUCUAUACUUUCAUCUCAAGAAAUUCUUUUUUUUUCCGCAGGGAACUUUGACACCUCUAUAUUUUAUUGUAAUGACAACAUAUACUUGGGUAACUUCAUUUCUUAA